rnacentral:lncRNA from 1 species
AUUUGGGGAUUGAGUUAAGGUAUGAAUUUAAAAGUUUGAGUUGAAUUAGAAUUUGAUUAAGUUGAGUUCGUUUCGAGGACGAAACUCUUUUAAGGUGGAGAGGAUGUAAGGAAGUGAAUUCUUGAAAUCCGAGAGUUUGACUUCGUUUGGAAUAGACUUGUUGUCGAGUUGGUUGGGUUCGGAAAGCCUGAACGCCGAGGAAAUGGGAAAAGUGCGUUGCGACGGA